rnacentral:rRNA from 1 species
GGCCAGACUCCUACGGGAGGCAGCAGUGAGGAAUAUUGGUCAAUGGGAGAGAUCCUGAACCAGCCAAGCCGCGUGAGGGAAGACGGCCCUAUGGGUUGUAAACCUCUUUUGUCGGAGAACAAAACCCGGGACGUGUCCCGGACUGCGUGUAUCCGAAGAAAAAGCAUCGGCUAACUCCGUGCCAGCAGCCGCGGUAAUACGUAGGGGGCAAGCGUUAUCCGGAUUCACUGGGUGUAAAGGGAGCGUAGACGGCGGCGCAAGUCCGGAGUGAAAGCCCGGGGCCCAACCCCGGGACUGCUCUGGAAACUGCGGCGCUGGAGUACGGGAGGGGCAGGCGGAAUUCCUGGUGUAGCGGUGAAAUGCGUAGAUAUCAGGAGGAACACCGGCGGCGAAGGCGGCCUGCUGGACCGUGACUGACGUUGAGGCUCGAGAGCGUGGGGAGCAAACAGGAUUAGAUACCCGAGUAC